ACCGUUCCGCCCUAAAACCCUCAGGUUCUCUCUUUACCGGAAGAUUCUAGGGUUUUAGCUCAUCACUUUCAACUCCUUGAGAAAUUACGAUCGAUCCCCGAUGUUGAGAAAGAGAUCCUCGUCAAUUCUCACUCUCAGGGCCCUCUCCAAGGUCAGUUCUCUUCCUCUCCUCUUCCGUUCUUCAAAUUAUAGGUCCAUUUCGCAGAACGCACAAGUUGCUAGGGUUUUCGAUGGAGGGCAGAAUCCAAAUGGAGUUUCAGGCGGAGAUUUCUAUGAAAGGGGAGAUCUUGCGUAUGGUAACCAAUUGAAUUCAAGUGGAAUGAGCGCUGCUGGCGUGGGUUGUCAGCUGAAUCCGAAUGGAUUUCGAGGAUCGAGUUCGAAUGGGGUUUAUGGAGGAAAUCAAUAUGGGCAAGAAAGAAGGGAUCUUGGAGAGGUUUGUCAGUGGGAAUCAAAUGGGUCAAGUGCGCCACUGAGGAAUUUGAAUGGGUUUCAUGGCCAGAAUCCAGAUGGCUAUACAAAAAGUAAUUUUGUGGUUCGGCCGGUGAAUAUACUGAGUAAUUAUCAAGAUCCUAAUGCAGUUUACAAGGAAAACCACAGAGAUUCAUCGAAUUUCUAUCCAAGUUCUGGUAUUUCUCACGAUGGAUUUGGCUCUGGAGGACCUUCUCAGAGUGCGUAUGGAGAAAAUGGUUAUCAAGGAAUGCCCAAUCAAGAUUCCUACGGGCAUAACAGAGAGAGCACCUUGCCUGCAGGUCAGCAUAACUUAAGUCAAUCUCCUUUAGCUGAUAGUUUGUCUCAAACGGGUGAAAGUGUCACUUACAAGGGCACCCUCAUUGAGCUUGAUGAGUUCUGUAAAAAGGGCGAUGUCACAGAAGCAGUUGAAGUUCUUCAUUUGCUAAGGAAUAAUGGUGUGACCGUGGAUCUCCCAAGAUAUUUGACGUUGUUGCAGACUUGCGGAGAGACCAAAUCUCUAGAAGAAGCAAGAAUUGUCCACAAUCACAUGGAUGAAGUAAUGGGUGAGCUAGGAGUUGCAGUUAAUAACAAGAUGUUGGAUACAUACUCUACGUGCGGUUCGAUGGUUGAUGCUUACCAACUGUUUGAGAAAAUGCGCCAUAGAAAUUUGACAUCUUGGGAUACUAUGAUAAAUGGCCUAGCGAAUAAUAAUCUUGGGGAGGAAGCAAUUGAUCUCUUCACUCAGUUCAAGGAGAGAGGAUUGCAGCCAGAUGGAGAACUAUUUAUUGCUGUGUUCAAUGCUUGUGCUACUUUAGGAGCAGUUGAUGAAGGAAUUUUGCAUUUUGAAUCAAUGAAGGAGAAAUUCAGUAUUGCGCCUACAAUGAAACAUUAUGUUAGCCUUGUAGAUAUGCUUGGAAGAAGUGGUUAUUUAGACGAAGCUCUUGAGUUUAUUGACAAGAUGCCUGUUGAGCCAAGUGUUGAAGUUUGGGAAACUCUGAUGCAUCUUUGUAGAGUUAAUGGAUAUAAGGAGCUUGGAGAUAGAUGUUUUGAGAUUGUGGAACAACUCGACCCCUCAAGGUUAACUGAGCAGACCAAGAUGGGUCUUUUUCCUAUUAAAGCAUCUGACAUGCAGAAAGAAAGGAAAAAUAAUUCUGACCCUUUCGCUGUUAGACGCCACACACAUGAGUUACGUGCAGGGGAUAGAUCUCAUCCAGAGUCAGACAGGAUUUAUGCACAGCUACGAGCUUUGUUACCGAAUAUGAAAGAGGCUGGCUACAUUCCAAAUACUAACCCUGUGCUCCAUGACAUCGACCUAGAAGCUAGAGGGGAAGCUUUGAUGGCCCAUAGUGAGAAGCUAGCUGCUGCUUAUUUUCUCUUUACUUCCCCACCUCGUCAACCUAUGAGAAUUAUUAAAAACCUACGCUUUUGUCCGGAUUGCCAUGAAGCAAUGAAGAUCAUAUCAAAGCUUACAGGUCGUUUAAUUAUUUGCAGAGAUGCGAAGAGGUUUCACCAUUUUGAGAAUGGGGUCUGCUCUUGCAGGGACUAUUACUAAAAGGGAGUAGUGUUCUCAAAUGCGAUAUGUUGGGAGCAAGAUGCAUACAUACACACCAUAUCUUCUGCAUAUCUGGCUGCUAACUGAGAAGAAAGUCAGAACGGAAGAAGAAAGAGGAGUUGGUCGCUGUUAUCUUGCUGCUGCGGAGAAUGGAGGAGCUAACAUCGGAGAGAGAAUUAGGGGAGGAUUCUGUCUAUUGACUGCAAAAGUGCAAGCCUUUUGAAAUCUGUCAUCCUUCAAACUUAGAAAUGGGUGAGUUAGAUCAGGUUGAGUUGGCUAUAUCUGACUUAUUAUCCUUAACCUUAUCCACUCUCUUUUCCUCUCUCAUACCUCAUCAAACUGGGAGUACAUGGAGGAGCACUGACAGUGAAGACACAGAUAACUUCCAAAAACUAGCCUUGAGCAGCAAGGCAUAACACCAGAAACAAGGAUGGAUGUGUUUAACCUACUAAUGAAUAUGGCAGCGUCUGUGCCGUAUGUUUUGUUCGGAGAUUACAUUGUCAGGCUAAGUUAUUCAUCUCAACAACACACAAAUCUCAGUAAGCAACGAUCUGAGUUUGCCUGCAAUCAGGUUCCACAAGGCCGAAGUUGGCUUUGCACGCGGCACUGUCGUCUCCCUUCUGUAUCAUAUCGUCAUCUAAUAACUCAUGAUCUUCUCAAGUUAAUUUCUUUAUACUGCAGCAGGACAAGUUGAAAUUGUCAUUUUAUUAUAAUUGUAACCAUUUGGAAAAUACUGAGGGAAAUAAAAUUUUUACGAUUCAUAAUC